UUUAACUUAUUUCAAGAUUCUCUGAUUUUAGGAUCUCUCACUCUGAAUUCUUAAUCUUUUUCUUGAAAAGAUGAACUGAUAUUUUUAUGUCUUUGUUUGCAUCCACUUAAGCUGAUUUUUUGGCUCUCACUCUUUCAGCGUGCAGAAUCAAGUCCUUCGAGUAAGACGGUUCAAACUUCGAUUGAUGAUUCAGAUAACAUCAGCGAUUAUGAAAAUUUAGAGGUGACAUUGGCACCGAAAGAAAAGGGUAAAUCGCCCAGGGAUCUCUGUUUUACGGACGAGGCGACAGAACUGAGCACUGCCUAAGUUCCUCCUGAAUGGCUUUCAAAAUUCCAACUACCAUCGAGGUUCUCUGCCUCAGUAGAGUUGGAUACCCAGAAGGGAUAUCUCAUCAGCAGCCUAAAGUACUCUGAGCAACAGUGGAUUGCAAAAAAAAAUUAUUGCAGAGUAUUCUUGUAUGGUUAGCAGGAUACUAGACUAAGUUGACUUGGAAACUGAAUGGAUUGGUAUGGUCUAAAAAUCUAUUGCUUCACCUCUUCUGCUUGCAGUGAAGAGAGACAAUUUUGUGGUGCUGAAUCUCUUGCCUUAAACUAAAAAGUUGCAAAAUAAUCACUCUCACCUUUUAAGUUCAUGACCUUUGUUCUUGUGUGUUUGUUAUCACAUGCAUUUAAUGAAGUUGUGACCAUUUUGGAGGUACAAGUCCAAAAAACUGCUACUUUGGUACUAAGAUGAACAGCUAAAAUUUUUGAGCCCAUUUGCCAAUGAAGUCCAGAUACAAAGGUUCAAGUACUUUGGGGUUGUAUUAAUUUUGCCUUUUUGUUUAGUUUUUUUGAUUUUGCAAUUUUUUAAAAUAUUCCUGUUGUCAAACCAUUAGAUAAAUAUUGGACAUAGAAUAGCUGAUUUUUUUCAGAUAUUUUGGGAGUCAUACAUUAGUUUUUCAAGUCUUGAAUGGGAGACAAA